rnacentral:lncRNA from 10 species
CCAACGACCAAAGCAAAGGACAGCAGAACUGACUGACACAGCUCAGAAAAUAUCCAAAGCUCUGGUCUUGCUCUGUCACCCACACUGGAGUGCAAUGCCACCAUCUUGGCUCACUGCAGCCUUGACCUCCUUGGGCUCAAGUGAUCCUCCUGCUUCAGCCUACCAUGUAGCUGGGACUACAGGUAUGCUCUGGAAAGGAAGACAAGAAAUGCUAAAGACUCUGGAUAUUGCUCUGUUUCUAUAAGGUCCCACCCAUAUACCAUCUCUUCUUUUGGAUUUCCUUUGGCAGGGUUCCCUUGUAUGGAAGUUCUCAGGAGAACAACACUCUCAGAGUCCCACUGUCUCAAAGAAUUCUUAAUGGACAGCUAUACUUGGCCCCAAGGUUUCAACCUCACACUGAAGAAAGUGACAUAAGAAAACACAAGUCCCAGUGCUAUCAGGGGCUAUCUGGAAAAGCUGCUUAAACAGCAAGUGAAAGAAGGCUCUCCCCUACCCCGUUCUAGUUAUAAACAUCACAUCUCUUAACAUACGGCCAAGAUGAUGAAGCUGAUGGAGUACGAUGGUGUUCAAACUUAGAUAAGCUAAUUCAAUAGACAACUAGAAAUGCCAAUGAGUCUAUCAUGACAGGUCCUAUGUAAGAUACACAUACCACAUGCUGUCAACCCAUCUGAGACACUCAGCUUUCAAAUGACAGUUCUUCUCUGAAGCUAACCUAGCCAAAAGAGUGAAAUACACUAUCUGUUAAGCUGUGUCAGUAGCUAAGUCUGUGUGUCUAAAUUAAAAACAUACUCACCCUGAAGUUAUUUGAAGGAUCCUUGAGACUCUUUUGGAUUGCUGCUUGGAGAACAUUCCUGUAACUUGU